rnacentral:rRNA from 1 species
GAGUUUGAUCCUGGCUCAGGACGAACGCUGGCGGCGUGCCUAAUACAUGCAAGUUGAACGAUGAUUUCUGGUACUUGUAUCAGAAUGAAGAGUAGCGAACGGGUGAGUAACGCGUGGGUAACCUACCUCUUAGCGGGGGACAACUAUUGGAAACGAUAGCUAAUACCGUAUAACAAUAUUAAACACAUGUUUAAUAUUUGAAAGUACAAAUUGGUACACUAGGAGAUGGACCCGCGUUGUAUUAGCUAGUUGGUAGUGUAAUGGACUACCAAGGCGAUGAUACAUAGCCGACCUGAGAGGGUGAUCGGCCACAUUGGGACUGAGACACGGCCCAAACUCCUACGGGAGGCAGCAGUAGGGAAUCUUCGGCAAUGGACGAAAGUCUGACCGAGCAACGCCGCGUGAGUGAAGAAGGUUUUCGGAUCGUAAAACUCUGUUGUUAGAGAAGAACGUCGUGUAGAGUGGAAAAUUACACAAGUGACGGUAUCUAACCAGAAAGGGACGGCUAACUACGUGCCAGCAGCCGCGGUAAUACGUAGGUCCCGAGCGUUGUCCGGAUUUAUUGGGCGUAAAGCGAGCGCAGGUGGUUUAAUAAGUCUGAUGUAAAAGGCAGUGGCUCAACCAUUGUGUGCAUUGGAAACUGUUAGACUUGAGUGCAGUAGAGGAGAGUGGAAUUCCAUGUGUAGCGGUGAAAUGCGUAGAUAUAUGGAGGAACACCGGUGGCGAAAGCGGCUUUCUGGACUGUAACUGACACUGAGGCUCGAAAGCGUGGGUAGCAAACAGGAUUAGAUACCCUGGUAGUCCACGCCGUAAACGAUGAGUGCUAGUUGUUUGGGGCUAUCCAGCCCUAAGUGACGCAGCAAACGCAUUAAGCACUCCGCCUG